UGCGAACAGCACGCUUAACCGACGGCCACACAUCGCGCGGAUGCUGUUCCUCCUCCCUCCCUCCCUCCUCUCCUCCAUGAUUCGCCUCGUCUCGAUUCACAUGAGAUAGCUAAGAUUUCACCGUCAAAUCGAUCCAAAGUAAUGGGAUGAGGGAAGCAUCGUUGCGAAUCCGAGCUCGCCUUCUGGAUUUCUUCCUCGACCGCGAACCCUUCUUGUAGGGUUCGUGGUCUCAUGGGGUCUACUUGCACAGAGAAUGCAGCAGAUGAUGUGUCCGGCUUGUUAUGAAAAUUGGUCAGUUUCUUUCACUGAUCAGUUAUAUUCUGUGCAUUGAGCACAAUUUAAUGGCUAAAACAUCAAUACUGUUGUUGAUUACAUUAGAAGUUAUGCAACUUUACAUGACUCUUUCAUUUUAGUAUAUGAUUUCAUUAAUGUGAUUUCACUACUUAUAACACAUUAUUUGCAGUAACACACAAUUUUGUAUGCUUCAAUGGAACUUCAUAUAUGAAACUGUCAAGGUUCAAGCUGCAGUCAGAAUCAUCCUUGGGUGUGCCAUUGAUGGUGUCUCACUUAUAUUGCCAAACGUAAAUGGAUGUCUUGUAUGGAACAAAUAAACCAUUAAGAAUGAGGAUGAUGAUGCCAAUGAGAGCGGAAGAUCUAGCAUGGUAGAAGAAGGUUUUCAAGAAAGGUGGCAGACAAUAUCCUAUGGGACUGAAUCAUGUACAGUAAGGUGCAGUUUGGCAAGGAGGAAUGUCAUGCUGGUGCAGACCAUGUGCUACGAGAAAAGGAUCCCAUAUGUUUGGUGAUGAUGCAGUCUUCUCCUUCCAGAACAAAUAAGAGGAGUUGAAGUAGGCGUUGAUGCUGGACCAGCAACGUGCUUCCCAACACUAAAUCUUAUGCCCGGAAGACCUGCUUGCAUAUCUGCUGCAUCGACAACAACCGUGUUCAAUAAAGCACUGGCAUGUGGACCAGAAAGAGUAGCACGCAUGUUGCCAUCUUACGCUAUAAUAUUUGGAGUGCCAUAUCAAUCAUCUCAAGACAGCUGAAGUGGUUCGCAGAAGGAUCCUCCAUUAACCUUCUAAGAAUCGCCAUGUUACGGAUAUCAUAUCAUAGCAUCGAGGUGGGUGAAGUGUCUUGACAUCAAUUUUUAUAUAUUAAAGAAUAAUUAUAAUGCAUGUACUCUCUACAGUUGAAAUAUCAAUGUCAAGCAGCCCUGCAUAAUUCUUUUUC